UUCUGAUUUGCGGCCGUGCAAAUUAUGGGAUGCCGAACGCGCGGAUUUCUAUCGUAAUGCGCAAACUUUCAACUGCCUUUUAAUUUUUAAACCGCUGGUCUGUACAUCGAGCAGGUCGGUCAGGUGCAGGCGCUGGUGCUCGUCAAGCUUGGACAGCGCUGCUGAGUGCUGAGUAACCUCUUACAACAAUUGCACCAUAUGAACUUAUAACAAGUACAGUACAUUGAACCACGACAAUUACUCUAGUUGACCAUAAUUGAGAUCGAAUAAGCAGGGUCAGGCAUUAUGGUUUCUGUCUACAAGUUUAUCUUUGUACCUUGCAUCACAACCUUCCAGUGGAAAACUGCAAUGCAAAGGACUUCUGCAGCGCAUAAUUUGCUUUGCUUAUCUUAUCCUGCUCUCAUCUGCAAUAAAGAAAAUGACGGUUUCUCAAAUGAUGAAUUGAAGCUUACAAGAUAUAAACAUGGAAAAUAGUAAUAUGCCCCCAAACUUUUCAACAUCUGGUGUUUCUAAUGAUGUCCUACAACUGAAAGAAUAAUCCAAACUUGGGGUUAUCAAAAAAUGCAUCCAGUCCUGAAUACGGUAAUGCUUGAACAAUGCACCCAAAUAGCAAAGCAAAGUUUCAACAGCACCCACGUAAAAAUCAAAAGGCAAUCGCUGUUUCCUGUAAUAUUCCUACGAAAUUCCUACUGUGUAAACAGAUCCUAGUGCUUCAAAUAUAUCAAAUUAAACCAAAAUUCACAUGCAUAAAUAGUUUGAAAUGGAACAAAAUGUUUGAUAGAAACUGACAACAAAUGUUUCCCCAAAAACACCAAUUAAGAAAAACAAAAUAGGCUCCUCAGAUGUCUCUUCAUCUCCACAAAAUGAGCAGCACCUCGCUGCUUUCAGGAAUUGGAACGAUAUAGGAGGCCAAUUUAAAUCAUCACAGGAGCACUCAACCUUAAUUAAGCAGCAACAGUGCAGCAUCGAGAAGAAGAAGAAUAAGAAGCGGACAAACAAGAGUAGCCCAAACAUUGAUCUAUUCAAGAAACGAACUCGGCUCCUCAGAUGUCUCUUCAUCUCCACAUAGCGUGCAGCACUGCAGCGUCUCACUGGAGCUGCUUUCAGGAAUCGGAACGACAUUAGAAGUAAAUUUGGUCAUCACUGGAGCAUCCAAGUUUAAGGAAACAGAUCCGGCAUAACGUUCUUUGUACCUCGCCUUUGCAUAAAAAAAUAAAGAAAAAAAAUAAAGGAUGUAAACAGCCUCAGAAAAUCUACUCGCAUUGUAAACAUACAAGUGAAUCCCACUCAUUGAGCAUAAAUCACCGCAAACCAGAUCCUCGGCUGGGUGGAAUCAUACAGCAGUAGCGCCUAACAAGCUAUUAGGUAACGAAUCGUUCAAAAAAAAACAGCAGUGAAGAAAUUUAGAUACCAGGUGGAAGCUAGGGUUUGGCCGUGUAGGCAUGCACGAAGAUGGUUGCGUUGCGGCAAAGAGAAGGUUGGAGACGGACGUGGCACUGGUACCGUACCAUUCGUAUUUCGGGCGAAGGGGUCGCAGCCGAAACGUGGUGGCAGGAGCCGCAGAUGCUGUGGACGCCGCCGCAAACGAGAAAGAGGCGAGGGGACUGGCGAGGCGAGGGAGGCGCAACGCCCGCCGCAGCUCGGCAACACGGAGAGCGGAAGGCCGAAGCGGCUCUUGGGCUCAUAGAAGCCAGUGUGACAAGAGAUGGGCCAUGCGGCCAUGCCCAGUUGCCGACUCGGUGGGC
rnacentral:lncRNA from 1 species